rnacentral:rRNA from 1 species
GACGGACGCUGGCGGCGUGCCUAACACAUGCAAGUUGAGCGACGAACCAGGGCUUACCCUGGGGCAAAGCAGCGAACGGGUGAGUAACACGUGGGUAACCUACCCCGAUAACCGGGACAACCCGAGGAAACUCGGGCUAAUACCGGAUGUGCUCACUGGACUUCGGUUCAGUGCGUAAAGGAAGCUUCGGCCUCCGUAUCGGGAGGGGCCCGCGGCCCAUUAGUUAGUUGGUGAGGUAACGGCUCACCAAGACCGCGAUGGGUAGCUGGUCUGAGAGGACGAUCAGCCACACUGGGACUGAGACACGGCCCAGCCUCCUACGGGAGGCGGCAGUGGGGAAUCUUGCGCAAUGCGCGAAAGCGUGACGCAGCAACGCCGCGUGGGGGAAGAAGGCCUUCGGGUUGUAAACCCCUUUCAGGAGGGACGAAGGUUCGGCGGUGAAUAGCCGUCCGGACUGACGGUACCUGCACAAGAAGCCCCGGCUAACUACGUGCCAGCAGCCGCCGUAA